UGCUCAGAGGGGAAAGCGACGACCUGUUACCAUUCCUAACCAGUUACCUGCAAUGGAGCCUCAAUGUGUAUACAAACCAUGCUUAAAUGCACCCAAGACUUACCUGCUCCCCAUGACCCCUUCAUAACUUCAAAAUGAAUACCACCUGGCAGACUUCCACAUUACCAAGCUUGAGUUUCAGCACAAGUUUUCAGCAAGAUGAUGGAAGAGAUGAAGAGACAAGUUGGGGGAAAAAGAAGGAAAGAGAAAGAAAAUCUCAUUCAUACAGUGAGAGUAAAG